ensembl:miRNA Mir186 microRNA 186
ACUUUCCAAAGAAUUCUCCUUUUGGGCUUUCUCAUUUUAUUUUAAGCCCAAAGGUGAAUUUUUUGGGAAGU